UCAUCCUAUAAUCUAUAUUUUCUCCCGUUUUCAUCUGACUUGCUGCCGCCGCGAGAGUAGCCAGAUCCACGACUACCAUAACCGCCACCGCCAUAUCCUCCGCCGCCGUUCCUGUAGUAUCCACCCUCGCGGCAUCUAUCGCCGUUUCUCUAUCUACCUCCACCGACUGCUCUAAGGAAAAAUCACGAAUCCAAACCCUCUUGACCUUCCGGUCUCGCGAUCGUUGAAAACCCUCGAUUCGAUAAUGUCGUCGAAAGGAGCAAGGGCAUCGUUUUCUCUCUUCCCGUUGUUUUUCAACGGUUACUCUUCUUCCCAUUAUCGCUCUCACUCUCAAUAAACAAAGCACUUUAUCUCUCUUCUUCACCGAGGCCUCAACUCCUCCGAAUGAUUAUCUUUCUCACAAUUCUUCAAGGGCUCAGAGAAUUAGGUCAUGAAUUGGUGAAAGCAAGAAAACGACGGCGAGACAGAUCAAGGCCAGACAUUGACAUUGUGUCGCUUCUCCAAUCUGUCAACCAGGGGAAUAUAAGUGGUGUUGCAAAAAAGGAAUCGGCAUUAAGAAACCAGGCUUUGUAAAAAGUAUAGUUCUAUGUUGGACAUUGUUGCUACCACCCUUAGGACCCUUUGUAUUGUUAUUUGCCCUUUUACUUUAGAUUAGGUUGAUCACUGAUUUGCUUUCUUGAGAUGGUUCGACCAUCGGAUGCUUUGGCUAGGAGACUUUAUGUGAAUGCGAGUUGUAUUGAUCU